GUAGAUGACAGUAGAUGACACUAGAUGACACUAGAUGACAGUAGAUGACAGUAGAUGACAGUAGAUGACAGUAGAUGACACUAGAUGACGGUAGAUGACACUAGAUGACGGUAGAUGACACUAGAUGACGGUAGAUGACAGUAGAUGACGGUAGAUGACGGUAGAUGACGGUAGAUGACAGUAGAUGACACUAGAUGACGAUAGAUGAUACUAGAUGACGGUAGAUGACCUAGAUGACACUAGAUGACACUAGGUGACGGUAGAUGACACUAGAUGACGGUAGAUGACACUAGAUGACACUAGAUGACGGUAGAUGACGGUAGAUGACGGUAGAUGACGGUAGAUGACACUAGAUGACGGUAGAUGACACUAGAUGACGGUAGAUGACACUAGAUGACGGUAGAUGACACUAGAUGACAGUAGAUGACAGUAGAUGACACUAGAUGACGGUAGAUGACACGUAGAUGACAGUAGAUGACGGUAGAUGACACUAGAUGACGGUAGAUGACAGGAGAUGACACUAGAUGACAGUAGAUGACGGUAGAUGACACUAGAUGACGGUAGAUGACACUAGAUGACGGUAGAUGACACUAGAUGACGGUAGAUGACACUAGCUGACGGUAGAUGACACUAGAUGACACUAGAUGACGGUAGAUGACACUAGAUGACACUAGAUGACGUUAGAUGACACUAGAUGACGGUAGAUGACACUAGAUGACACUAGAUGACACUAGAUGACAGUAGAUGACACUAGGUGACACUAGAUGACACUAGAUGACACUAGAUGACAGUAGAUGACGGUAGAUGACACUAGAUGACGGUAGAUGACAGUAGAUGACAGUAGAUGACGGUAGAUGACGGUAGAUGACGGUAGAUGACAGUAGAUGACACUAGAUGACGGUAGAUAACCCUAGAUGACACUAGAUGACGGUAGAUGACACUAGAUGACGGUAGAUGACACUAGAUGACGGUAGAUGACACUAGAUGACACUAGAUGACGGUAGAUGACACUAGAUGACACUAGAUGACGGUAGAUGACAGUAGAUGACGGUAGAUGACAGUAGAUGACAGUAGAUGACGAUAGAUGACAGUAGAUGACUGUAGAUGACACUAGAUGACACUAGAUGACGGUAGAUGACACUAGAUGACGGUAGAUGACGGUAGAUGACACUAGAUGACGGUAGAUGACACUAGAUGACACUAGAUGACGGUAGAUGACACUAGAUGACGGUAGAUGACCUAGAUGAACAGUGGAUAACGGUGUACACGUGAAUAUAGAGCGAGUGUGUCUCAUAUUCGCGUAUAUAGGACAUGGAUUUAUUACCCAGAAUAGGAAGGUAUAGCUUCUACUUCCUAUUCUGUGACCGAGUGAACCCUCUUUAUAUCUUUACUCUUUGGUUGCACCGCCCGUGUUUUAUAGCGCCCUGAUAUUACCAAAGUUCUUGGCAUUUUUGCUGUUUUGCAUUGCUAUAUUUUCC